rnacentral:lncRNA from 1 species
AAGAAGAGCUUCAAAACCUUCUUCUCCUUCUUCUCCUUCCUUUUCUUCCUCUCUUUUUCCUUCUUUUUCCUUCUCUUUUCCUUCUCCUUCUUCCCACGGUUAGAGAGAGAGAGAGAGAGAGUAGAGAGAGAGUGAGCUGAGGAGAGAGUGAGAGGGAUCAGCUGAGAGAGGUGUAUAAGACCUCUAUUGUAACAAUAUCCAAAAGAGCCCCUCAAUUUUCCGAUUUUCCAAAACAGCCCUGCUGUCCGCGCGCCCGCGUACCGGUACACGAUUUCGCGUACUGGUACACGGCCUGGCGGACAGCCAACCCGAGAGCUACGCAGGCUGCCCGCGAUUGCUGUACCGGUACAGCCAUCAACCCUAUACCGGUACAGCAGCUCCAGAGUGCUAUUUUUCACUCCGUUUUGAUUUCUUUUCGCGUCCAACAACGCUAAAACUAUUCCAACACUUUUGGAAUUCAUUUUUACUCUUCCAAACAUGUUGAAAUACCGAAUGGAACUUGUCCAAAUCGUUUAAUCGCCCACUUUGGCCCAUUUGGCCAAGGUUAGCCAAUAUCGUCGGAUUUCGAUAUCUUACAUUCUCCACCCCUUAAAAGGAGUUUCGUCCUCGAAACAACUCAACUUUUAACUCGAACCUAAACGCUUACCUCAAUCCUCAAACAAGUGAGGAUGGUUCGCCCUCAUCUGGUCCUCGAGUUCCCAAGUGGCUUCGCGAUCGUCAUGAUUGCUCCACCGGACUUUAACAUAGGGAAUUUCUCGAUUCCUUAACUUACGCACCUCUCGAGCCAAAAUCUCUACCGGAAACUCUUCGUAGCUCAAAUCAUCCUGAAGUUCCGGCGGCUCAUAUAGCAUCGCAUGCUCGGGGUCGUGAAUAUACUUGCGAAGAUUGGAGACGUGGAACACAUUGUGCACACCCGCAAGCUUCGGGGGCAAUGCAAGUCGAUACGCCACCGUCCCAAUUCGCUCCAGAAUCUCGUAGGGCCCAAUGUAACGAGGACUCAACUUUCCUCGCACCCCAAAUCGUUUCACGCCUCGCAUCGGUGAAACCUUCAAGAAUACGCGGUCACCCACCGCGAACUCCAAAUCCCGUCGGCGCCUAUCCGCAUAGCUUUGCUGCCUCGACUGCGCCGUGAGCAAUCUUUUGCGAGCUAGGCGGACUUUCUCUUCAGCUUCCCGCAACACAUCCGGGCCGAACUCCGCUCGCUCACCUACAUCGCUCCAAUGUAUAGGAGAUCGGCAUACCCGUCCAUAGAGGGCCUCAAACGGUGCCAUCCCCACACUAGCAUGAUAACUAUUAUUGUAGGCGAACUCGGCCAUCGGUAGGUAGUCACACCAACUUCCUUUAUAGUCAAUGACACACGCUCGCAGCAUAUCUUCCAGAGUUUGGAUAGUCCUCUCUGUUUGUCCAUCGGUCUGAGGAUGAAAUGCGGUGCUAAAGUCGAGCCAUGUGCCAAGGGCUUCCUGCAGGCUCUUCCAGAAUUGCGAAGUGAAUCGGGGGUCACGAUCCGACACGAUCGAUUUCGGCACCCCAUGCAGUCUCACUAUCUCGUCAAGGUAUACCUGCGCUAACUUGUCACCUGACCACGCGGUGUGAAUCGGCAAGAAAUGAGCCGACUUCGUCAAUCGGUCCACAAUUACCCAUAUUGCAUCGUGGCCGCCUUUUGAGCGGGGUAAGCCGACCACGAAGUCCAUCGAUAUAUCCUCCCAUUUCCAAACGGGGAUUGGUAAACUUUGAAGCUUUCCUGCUGGGAAUCGAUGCUCGGCCUUCACCUGUUGGCAUGCUAGGCAUUUUGCCACAAAGCGUCCGAUGUCGGCUUUCAUUCCCGGCCACCAAUAGUGUGCUUUUAGGCCUUGGUACAUCUUGGUGCCGCCCGGGUGACCAACAUACGGGGACCAAUGCGACUCUUGUAGUAUAAGCUUGCGAAGCUCCUCAUUAGCGGGUACACACCUCCGGUUCCGAAACCGAAGUGUACCAUCGGUGUCUACAUUGAACUCGCCACCAUGACCUUCCUCGAUGUUUCGCCGCACCUUUUGGAGUUCUGGGUCCGCAAGUUGCAGAUCUUUGAUCCUCUCCAACAAGGCCGGUUGGACAACGAGUGCCAUCAACUGAGUCGGGACCUCGGGAGCAACCACUUCAAGGUCCAAUCGCUCCAUAUCCAACCCUAGGGGUUUCUGCUCGGUAACAUCAAAAGCGAGGUUCUUUACCGCCUUCCUACUCAGCGCAUCUGCGACCACAUUUGCCUUCCCGGGGUGGUAACGGAUAUCAACAUCAUAAUCCUUAAGCAGUUCCAACCACCGCCGCUGUCGCAUAUUGAGCUCUUUCUGUGUGAACAGAUACUUCAAGCUUUUGUGGUCGGUGUAGAUUUCACAAUGAGCACCAUAUAGAUAAUGUCUCCAAAGCUUCAAAGCAAAGAUCACCGCCGCAAACUCUAAAUCAUGAAUGGGGUAGUUCUUUUCAUAGCCUUUCAACUGACGGGAUGCAUAAGCAAUAACUUUCCCGCCCUGCAUCAGCACACACCCCAAGCCCAGAUAAGAAGCAUCACUAUAAACGACAUAGUCUUGUCCCUGCACCGGUAGGGCGAGUACUGGAGUCGAAGUUAACCUUUGCUUCAACUCUUUAAAGCUCCGGUCACACUCGUCGCUCCAAACAAACUUGAUGCCUCUUUGCGUCAAUCGGGUAAGUGGAGUCACAAUCUUCGAGAACCCCUCCACAAACCGUCGAUAAUAACCGGCUAGGCCCACAAAACUACGGACCUCGGUAACAUUCGUCGGGCGCGGCCAAUUCUCAAUAGCCUCAACUUUCUUCGGGUCAACAGAAACUCCACCCUCAGAAAUAACAUGCCCGAGAAAUGCAACUUCCCUGAGCCAAAAGUCGCAUUUCUUUAACUUUGCGUACAACUUCUUCUCCCGAAGGAUUUGAAGUACCGUGCGCAAAUGCUCCGCGUGCUCCUCGUCGCUACGCGAAUAUACCAAUAUGUCGUCUAUGAAGACUACGACAAAUCGGUCCAAGCACUCCUGAAACACUCGGUUCAUCAAGCUCAUGAACGCUGCCGGGGCAUUUGUAAGCCCAAACGGCAUCACCGUGAACUCAUAGUGUCCAUAUCGCGUGCGAAACGCCGUCUUCUGAACAUCUUCUGGCUUGAUCUUUAACUGGUGAUAGCCAGACUGAAGGUCAAUCUUAGAAUACACUCGCGACCCCUGUAACUGAUCAAACAAGUCAUCAAUACGGGGUAGCGGGUACUUGUUCUUCACCGUGACCUUGUUCAACUCGCGGUAAUCCACGCAAAGUCGAAAGGAUCCAUCUUUCUUGCGCACAAAUAAUACCGGGGCACCCCACGGCGAAACACUCGGCCUAAUGAAUUCCUUGUCGAGAAGAUCCUGCAAUUGAUCUCUCAACUCCCUUAGCUCGGCCGGCGCCAUGCGAUACGAGGCCUUAGAAAUCGGCGCUGUCCCGGGAACCAAGUCAAUCAUGAACUCGAUCUCCCGGUCCGGCGGCAUACCCGGUAACUCCGCGGGGAACACAUCGGGGAACUCCCGCACAACCGCCAACUCCUCGAGGAUCGGAACAGCUCGAUCAAUCUCCACAACGGUCGCCAAAUAAGCCAUGCAACCGCUGCUCACCAGCUUCCUCGCUCUUGUCGCCGAUACCAUCGCGGCAAAGCACGAGCUCUUGCAAGCUCGAUAAGUGAACUCCUCCUGUCCUGGCUCCCGAAAGGUAAUAACUCGAGUCGGGCAAUCGAUCGAUACAUAGUACUUCGAGAGCCAAUUCAUGCCCAAUAUGACAUCGAAUUCAUUUAACUUCUUGAGCACCAACAAGUCGAUCGGCAUAACCCAGUCAUUCACUUGCACUGGACAUGCCAAGCAUCGCUUCCUAACCACAAAGGAUCGCCCGGGGCCCUCAACAUGCCAAACGUGCUCCCCAAGACGAUACUCAAUAUCAUGCGCUCGUGCAAAUGAUCGACUAAUGAACGAAUGUGAAGCGCCUGUAUCAAAUAAAGCUCUAGCCCGAACAUCUUUAAUCAAAAUUAUACCUGCCACAACAUUGCGCUCGCCAGCAUCAGAAGGCUCCUCAACAUGAACGGGUGCAGCAUACAUCCUCCCGCUCGGCGCUGAUCGUGCAGGCUCUGGUUGGCGUGGCAUCGCCGCUCGCCCAGUAGAUGCUGCCGGAGGGGGCAGAGCAUAGCGAGCUGGAACUGCCGGGGCCGAUGCAGUCGACAUAGCGGGCGAAGCUCCUCCCUGAGGACAGUCGCGAAUCUGAUGUCCCGCUUGCCCGCACUUGAAGCACCUCCCUCGGCGCUGCUCGCAAACACCCGGCCGGUGGUUUCCGCCGCAGAAAAUACAUCGCUCAGCACCCCGACCCUUGGCCUGAGAGCGCGGAUACUUCGGGGGCCUCCUGGAGCUAGGCUGACCACCCGAUCCACCGCCCUGCCUUUUCUUGCUCUUGUCCUUGUCGUACAACUCACGGUCCUCACGCUCGCAAGCGUUCCCGUGCUCGACCCAUAGGGCGCGAUCUAGUGCUGCCGCCAGUGUAGGGAACUUGAAGGCAUGCACCAACUUGAACACUCCGGGCCGGAGUCCUCGCACAAAACAAUCUGCCCGGUCCUGCUCGGUCGUCGCCACGUCCGGGACACAACUCAGGAGAUGAGUGAACUCCCGCUCGUACUCCCGAACCGUGCGGUUGCCUUGCUUGAGCUUGCGAAAGUCUUCCCGCAUCUUUCUCUUAUCACUGUCGGGGAAGUACUCGGCGAACAUCAGCUUACGGAACUCCGCCCAAUCAAUCGGGGGAAGCUCCGGGGAUCGGUCCUGCUUGACUCUCCUCCACCAAGUCCUGGCCCGCUUCUCGAAGCAAUGCGCGGCCAAGUUCACCUUGUCCUUCUCUAAGGUGAAGAUGUCCUCGAAUAGAGUCUCCAUAGCUGUCAGCCAAGACUCCACCGCAGCUGGAUCCACCACCUCUUCGUCGAAGGUAGGCGGACGAAACUUUGUGAACCUCGUGAGCGCCACAUAGCCUCGCUCACGCUCCGCCUCCUCAGCCACUACCGCGGGGGUAGGAGAACUCGAACUAGCCGGAGGAAUAUCCACCGGUGGGGGUUGCGCCGCCACCGGAACCGAAACACCACCCACACCCUCGGCCGCAUCAGGGGCGCGAACCGAAGGCGCAGGCGGACCGCGGCCUGGACCCGCUGCCGCAGCCGCCGCCAUAGCCUGCUGCUCCAACAGCUCCUGAAUCCUAUCGAACCGUCCAGUGAGCGCCGCAACUUGCGCUCGCAACUCCUGCACCUCAGUAGGCCCAGCUAGCACUGGCGCCACUGGAGGCACGGCUGUCUCGGGCACCUCUCGGGGUGGUGCCGGAGCGGUCCUACGCACGUAGCGUCUCUUUGGUGCCAUAGCUCCUGAAACGCAAACAGUUGGUUAAUUACUUAACUCAACAAUAUCGUCGUAAACGCGAAACAUAACGGUUAAAGAACAUCAAUCAGGCGGUAAGCUUGCAAGUGUCUUAAUUCUCGACUUUCAGCAUCGUGUUGUCGGCCGCCAACACAAUCACCUUAAGCCAAAAAUUAAUACCACUUGAAUCAUCUCUAGACAUAACUAGAGUACAACACCAACACCAACCCAAUCGAUUAGCUUCCGCCGCGUCAUAGGUUCACGUCGCACUCACGCACCUAUAACCUUAGGGUUAACCAACCUAGAGUCUCCUAGGUCAUCCUAGACUCUCUCUUUUGCUUACUCUUAACUCGCUCUGAUACCACCAACUGUCACGCCCCAGACCGCACCACCCGAAAACGGUACCAAUUUGGUCCGAUUCGAGGGCGGCGUGCGCGACCGCCGAACGGACAGAGUCUCCCCUGUUCGCCCAAGGCUAAGCAACGGAUUGUGUACAACAAGUCCCCAGGAAAACAACUUACAUUCAUACACAAUCAACAACGAAACGAAUGCACAAACAGUGCUAUAACCAACUAGAGCAAGCGAUACGAGUAAAAUCAUACAAGUAUACAAAAGAGAGAAACUUAACUAUUUAAACAUAUUUGAAACAUUAAACCUCUUUCGAUAUCAUUUAAAUUUCAAACAUUUAAAUACAACUUGCAUUCUUUUUACCGAAAUGAAAAUACAUCAAGUGCUCUCCAAAACCUCACCCUAUACAUCAUCUACUCUCAAAGCAUAACCAAAAGUACAGGGUAUAGAGCUAAUGCAAGUAGGUAAAGUAAACUAUCUACCAAAAGCUAGGGCGCUAUGCCCUUACCACGAUCCAUCGAUGAAGGCCCGCUGUCCUGUGUACCUGUACCCCCAAAACCACACGGGGGUGAGAACUACGAAUAGUUCCCAGUGGGUUCGGCCGCCGACUCCACCGAUCUACCCACUAGGUCUCAAGCAGGCAUAGAGAGAUAUAUAUGCAAUAUACAUAUAAAACUGAGCUAAACUAAAAGUGGUAUGUAAACAACUAUAUCAAGCUAUGCCUCAAUCUGGAAUCAUGAAUGCAUGAACAAUAAGUAAAGCUGGUGGGUAAGCAACUAUCAACCUCUACAACAGCUAUCAUAGUAAGCUAUAAACAUGCUACUAGGUAAGCAAAUAAGCCGAUAUGAACAAUGAAUAGCUACUAUGAAUAUCAAUCAUGGGUAAGACUCAAUGGGUAACCCAAUCUCCAAGCGAACACAAGGUUCACAAGCGAGGCUCACAUAUCAAUCUCCUAGGGAUGCCUAGCUGGUCGAUCCCCGAGUACGCCUGCGGAUAACAAGCGGCUAUCCGAGCAGCAAGCACGGCUGCCUCUCUAGUGACCAAACUCCGGAGCGCACAACUUGAGGGGAGCGACCCCACCAAGCGCAGACAGGCAAUGUGAGCAAGAUCAUCUCACGAGCAACAACAACCCUUUGAGGGUAAUCUCAUCAUGGAAUUAAGGUAUACUUGUACCCAAUCUCAUAGUGUCUCAACUACACUAAUGUGAUCAUCUCAAGGAAACAUCAACAAUGUCAUUCAUCAUAGUUUUUCUAACUAGAUGCCACUUGUCAUAGUUUUCUAAACUAGAUGCCACUCGUCAAUUUGACUCAUUAUCAACACUAGUUUCAUCAUACUAGUUCUUUAGCAACAUAAGUAUUAAUCAUCCCAUAUAGGGUCUAGAUUCUCAACAUGUAGUUUUCAUCAUACUAGUUCUUUAGCAACAUAAGCAUUAAUCAUCUCAUAUAGGGUCUAGAUUCUCAACAUGUAGUUUUCAUCAAGCAAUCAUCAUGCAUACUAGAUCAUAACCAACCAAGCAAGAUAUACUUAUUGAACUACUAGCAUGCAAGUAUAAGCAACAAUAAUCAUUUUCUAACCCUAUAUGUUUAUGCACAAUAUGCAAAUAGAUCAAAUUAAACUUAGACAUAGAAGGUGGCCCGAUGAUUUCGGUAUGGCACUCCCCCACCUUGGGUGAUGCCGAAAACACUCCGAGACGCGUUCUCGUGCUAGUCUUGUCGCCGCUUAAUUUUUCGUUGGGUUAGCUUUAACCCUUUAGCGCAUCAAAUGGCGAUAUCUCCGCGCUCGAUUUUCGUAUCGACGAACCGUCUUCGCCUACGCGUUUAUAAGCAUAGCAAUUAGGUUUUUGACCCAUCAAAAUAGAUCAAUCCCUCACAUUUUCAAAAUCCCCAAAAUCUAACCCUAGGGUUAGGAUCCAUGAGAAGCUAUGGAUUUUAGCUUCAUUGUGAGUUAAAUCCAUGUUUUCUAAGCUCAUAAGAUUCUAUUUGAACCAUUAAAAGCAACAAAAACCUCCCAAAACCCUAGAUUUACAAAGUAGGGUUGAUGCUUACCUCUAGGGUUUGCUCCAAAGCAAGCCCUAGGCCAAGAACGAGGUGAAGAAGAGCUUCAAAACCUUCUUCUCCUUCUUCUCCUUCCUUUUCUUCCUCUCUUUUUCCUUCUUUUUCCUUCUCUUUUCCUUCUCCUUCUUCCCACGGUUAGAGAGAGAGAGAGAGAGUAGAGAGAGAGUGAGCUGAGGAGAGAGUGAGAGGGAUCAGCUGAGAGAGGUGUAUAAGACCUCUAUUGUAACAAUAUCCAAAAGAGCCCCUCAAUUUUCCGAUUUUCCAAAACAGCCCUGCUGUCCGCGCGCCCGCGUACCGGUACACGAUUUCGCGUAUCGGUACACGGCCUGGCGGACAGCCAACCCGAGAGCUACGCAGGCUGCCCGCGAUUGCUGUACCGGUACAGCCAUGAACCCUAUACCGGUACAGCAGCUCCAGAGUGCUAUUUUUCACUCCGUUUUGAUUUCUUUUCGCGUCCAACAACGCUAAAACUAUUCCAACACUUUUGGAAUUCAUUUUUAC